rnacentral:lncRNA from 1 species
UUCGUGGAAAAAAAAAAGAAAAAAGACCCCCUUACAGAUGUAAAGAUCGGUUUUUAAAUCGAUUCUCCCCCCAAAAAAAUACAAAAAGUUUUUUUUUAUUUCUUUCUAUUCUUCCUGUCACUGCUUCGGUUGCUUUGCAAGUACUUGAUGGUGGCAAGUGGCGGUGGGUAGGUGACAGAGGGCAAGUGAGCGGCGAUGUGACAAUGGCGGCUAAUCAGGGCAAGUGGGCGACAGAGGCUGCGGCGCUAGGCUAGGGUUUCAGAAAAUUGAAACCCUAGUUUGACUGGGUUUGUUGGGCUGGUUUUUGGUCUGUAUUUGGGUUGUUUGUUUGGGCCAAGUUUGGGUUGAUAUGGUUAUAAUGGGCCCUUUGUAAUUUUUUGGGUUUGCCUGGGCAAAAUUCGGCUGUACACCCUUCUUUCCACGACUUGCUAUUGUUGCAAAUUUUUGAAGACUGACACCUUUCCUUUUAAAGAUUCGAUGUGGAAUGAAGAGAUGGAGGCUUUGGGAAGCGAGGCAGAGGAACCACUCAAACCUCCUGCUUUGCUUAUCAUGUCUUUAAUGGACUCCUUAUCGUCCACUCUCCCUUCAUCCAAUGGGUAUUGUGAUGGGAUAUCAAGUGCAGUCAAUCCCUUAGCAUUUUUGCAUUGAUAUGGUCAGCACACAAGCGUUUCAGCAGUAAUUUUACCACCUGUUAAUUAGAAUAUUCAUACAAGUAACCUUUGAGUAUAUAUAUACAUAAAUAAUUUCACUUGCAAAAUUAUCAUACCUUAGGUCUGUUUCUGAUAGCAGCAACAUGUAAAACAAUGUUGCCAUCAAUGUCUGCCCAACUCAGAAGUUCUUUCUCCCAACAGUUGGCAGCUUUAUGGCGGCUCCUUAUAAGCCACCCCACCAAGACUUGGAAAGCUUCAAACCUGUCAUUUUUUCCAUGAUUUUUUACAUGUUUUUGGUUCCACUGCAUAUUAUCAUGUAAAAGAAUCUAAGUUAGACCCAAGAGCAAAGAAAGCAUUAUUCAUGGGUAUAACUGGUGGAGUAAAAGGAUACCGUCUCUGGUGUCCUGAUACAAGGAAAAUUAUUUUCAGUAGAGAUGUGACUUUUGAUGAAUCAACCAUGAUGAAGAACAAUGAUUCACAAAAGGAUAACACAACCAAUGGCACUUUGCAGCAGGUGGAGCUUGAAAAGGUUAAUGAUGAUCCAGCUAAUAUUGAAGGAACAAAUGAUGAAGAAGUUUCGACCCAAGAACUUCUACAGCAACAUGAUUCAAUUGCAUAUAGAAGGCCAAGAAGAGAGAUUUGUAUGCCUGCUCGCUUUAAUGAUAUGGUGGCCUAUGCACUUCCAAUUACAGAUGAUGAUGUUCCUUCUACUUACACAGAAGCAAGAAGUAACCCUGAUGGUGUAAAGUGAAAGCAAGCUAUGAAUGAAGAAAUGCAGUCUCUUCAUAAAAAUAGGACUUGGGAGUUGGUGACACUACCCAAAGGAAAGAAGGCAAUUGGAUGCAAAUGGGUAUAUUCAAAGAAGGAAAGAUUUCCUGAUAAAAAUGAAGUUCGAUACAAGGCUAGAUUGGUAGUAAAGGGUUACACUCAGAAAGAAGGAAUAGACUACAAUGAAGUAUUUUCUCCAGUUGUGAAGCAUUCGUCUAUUCAGAUUUUGCUAGCCUUGGUUGCGUAAUAUGAUCUUGAACUAGUUCAGCUCGAUGUGAAGACCACAUUUUUACACGGUGAUUUGGAAGAGGAAAUCUAUAUGACUCAGCCAGAUGGAUUCAAGGUUACUGAUAAAAAAAAUUGGGUUUGCAAACUGACAAAGUCACUUUAUGGAUUGAAACAAUCUCCGAGGCAGUGGUACAAGAGAUUUGAUCAGUUCAUGAAAGGGCAAAGGUGUACAAGAAGUAAAUUUGAUCAUUGCGUGUAUUUUUAGAAGCUACAAGAAGGAUUUUUCGUAUACUUGCUCUUAUAUGUUGAUGAUAUGUUGAUAGCAUCUAAAAGUAAAGUUGAAAUUGAGAGAUUGAAGACUCAACUCAACCUUGAGUUUGAGAUGAAAGAUCUAGGUGAAGCUAAGAAGAUCCUUGGCAUAGAAAUAUGUAGGGAUAGAGCUCAUGACAGAGUUAGUUUGUCUUAGAAGCAAUAUUUAAAGAAGAUACUACAGAAGUUUGGCAUGAACGAGCAGACUAAAGUUGUAAGUACCCCGUUGGCUUCUCAUUUCAAGCUUUCUACACAACUAUCUCCUUCGACAAAUAUGGAACAAGAAUACAUGUUACAAGUUCCGUAUUCUAAUAUGCAAUUGUGUGUACAAGACCCGACAUUUCACAGGCAGUUAGUAUAGUGAGCAGGUAUAUGCAUAAUCCUGGAAAAGGACAUUGGCAAGCUGUGAAAUGGAUUCUACGGUAUAUUCAUAAGACCAUGGAUAUUGGAUUACUGUUCAAGCAGGAUACUACACUUGGUAAAGGUGUUGUUGGGUACGUUGAUUCUGAUUAUGCCGGUGAUUUGGACAAACGGAGAUCAACCAUUGGUUAUGUGUUUACUCUUGCUGGAGGACCAAUAAGUUGGAAGUCUACACUGCAGUCUACAGUUGCGUUGUCAACCACAUAAGCUGAAUACAUGGCUGUAACAGAGGUUGUAAAGGAAGCUAUUUAGUUACAAGGUAUGGUUAAAACCUUGGGUUGGUUCAGGAGCAUAUUAAUGUGUAUUGUGAUAGUCAAAGUGCUAUUCAUUUAGCAAAGAAUCAAGUCUAUCAGGCACGUACAAAGCAUAUCGACGUACGUUUCCAUUUUGUGCGGGAAAUUAUUGAUAAGGGGAAAAUUCACCUUCAGAAGAUUAAGACUGCAGAUAAUCCUGCAGAUAUGAUGACCAAGGUGGUAACAACAAUCAAGUUCGAACAUUGUUUGAACUUGAUCAAUAUUCUGCAUGUUUAACAGUUGAAGAAUCCACUAUCAAGUGUUGUUGACAAAGGCAGAGAGAAUUGUGUGAAGAUAAGAUUACUCGAAUCAAAUCUUCAAGGUGGAGAUUAUUGGGAAUUAUCCAUAUUUAUGGAAAAUCAAAGAUAUGGGUAUCAAAUAAUAGAAAUUCAAAGAUAUGGGUAUCAAAUAUUGGAAAGUCAAAGAUAUGGGUAUCGAGAUAUUGGCAUAAUAAAAUUUGAGAUAUUUGCAAUAUAUGGUCUCUAAUUGUAAAGUGACUUUGCAAGUUGAUCCCUGAACCUCAACUAUAAAUAAGCAUGACCAUCUCUCAUUCUGUAUCUCAAACUUGCCAUUCUUUACUUAAGGCAUUGUUUUCUCUCUCUCUCUUUGUAAAUUCUCACUUGUAUUUUGGAGUGAAAUAUAUUUGGUAGUGGCCGAGGACGUAGACAAAAUUUGCUGAACCUCGUUAAAUUAUUGUGUUCUUUAUUGUAUUAUUCUGCAUGAAUUGUGUGUAUGAUUGUAGUGAUUUAUUGUGCCAUUAAAUUACGAUUGAGGGAUAUUCUGGCUAAGGAAGACCUGGUACUUAAGCGAUCCUUGUGAUCCACCUCUCUUUCCUGGGAAUUGAACUUAGUGUGAUUUUUUAGUACAAAAAUUUUACUCUUUUACACGCUUCCGCACAACAUCUUUAAUGAUAAAAGCUUAAAGAAUAAUCUUUAAAAUUUGGUUGUUGGUAGCUUUAUUUGGGUAGAAUUUGAGAUUUAGUUCAUAUAUUUUAAAUGUUAAAAUUUUAAUUUUUUUUACUUUUUCAAUUUAAUAUUGUAAAAUAAAACCAUAAAAAAAAUUGUGUACAAAUAGUAUUGAAUUUACAUAAAAAUAUAUAAAAAAUGCAGCAUAAAUUUGAAUAAUAAUACAUGAACACUUAAAAUGAUAAUAUAUGAAAAAAAACUUAAGAUAAUAAUAUACGAUAAAUUUAAACAAUAUUAAUAAUGAAUUUAAAAUAAUAUUAAGCAUAAAUAUUAAAAUAAGGUUAGAUUUAAAAAUAUAUAAAAAUAAUGGAAUAAUAAAUACUUAAAUAAAUUAGAAAAAUAAGCAAAUUAAAUCAAGCUAAUAAGGAUUAAAUUGGAUUUAAAACAAAAUUAGAAGGCAAAAACGUAAAUAAAAUAAAAUAAAGGACCCAAUUGAAAGGCGCGAAUAACUCAAAGGGACCAAAUGGGGAAAUAUCCCCGCCUUUUGAAAUGCAUCGUUUCACCAGGACCAAAUCAGAAACCAAAUAAAAUUUAAAGUAUCAAUUGAAGAAAAUAAAAAAAUUUUGAAUUAAAAUAAUAAAAAAUACGGAGGGGGCAAAUGCAUAAAUAUCCUUACCAAGACCAGAACAGGCAGAUCUAGGUGCCUCUGGGUCGAGUCAUCGGGUAUAGUCAAUACGGCACCGUUUUGGAGCCAUUGAAACAGACUUUAAAUGGUGCCGUUGCAUGGCCUUUAUAAAACAAAAAAAAAAAGAAAAAUAAACAAGUUUUUAGCCAUUUCGAAUCAGAUAAAAACCUUAGCCACACGCCGUUUAGAAGCCUGGCCAUUCAAAGGCCAAUCGAUCCCUGUCUGAACUUCGAUUGCGACAGAGUGAGCAAGGAUUCGACACCACCAAGUAAUUUUCUCACCUUAAAUCGUUUUUUUCUUUUUUUACACAUGAUGAGUAAACAAAUAGAUGAGUCUAGAACAGAAAAGAAAAACAACGAAAAGAAAAAAAAGGUUUCAAAUCACCUUUAGAAAAUUCUGAUUCUUUGAUUUUUCGUCCCCUUUUAUAGAUUUGUAAUUGGCUUUUUAUAGCCGAAACGAAAAAAAGAAAAUAUGUAAAAAAGAAAUCUAUUAUGUUAUCUAGCUAUUUUCAUUUGCUGGCAUAUUGUUGCUCGCUUUUUACUGUUAUUCGUUUCUGUUUCAGGUGUACGAAGGAGCGAUGACGUGGAGGUGCAACACGCGUGGAGGCCUGGUUCCCAGCUGCGGCGUGGACUGUUCCAAAAACCCUAGGGGUUUCUGGAGAUUUCAAAUUGGGCCACUUCAAAUCGGGCUAGGGUUUAAUUAAGUCUAGGAUUGUAUUGGGUCUAGGAUUGGGUUAGAUUUUGGGUUUAGGCCUCAAUCCGAAUUUGGCCUAUUGUAACUGAACUUUUGGACUUAUUAAUGGUUAUUUUGGGUAUUGGGCUAUUAGGGUUUGUUGGGUUUGGGUUUUAGAUAUUUGGGCUGAUUUGUGUUUGUUUAUUUUGGGUUGUUUGUGUAAUUCUGGACUUUUUAUUUUAUUGGACUUUUAUUUUUUGAUUUGGUUUUUUUUUUGUGUGGGCUCGAGCAGAUUGGGCCUGCUACAAUAUUGAUGUAAAACUUUGUCACUAAAGUGCAAAUUGUAACAAUAGUUAAGUAGUCUUUUGUUCGAAUAACAUUAGAAGCACAUCAAAGUCAAAGCACAUAGACUUUAAGUUCAUUGUUGUUAAAAUAAAAGUUUAGGGUGGUUAGAUGUCUAUAAAGUAUAUUGAGACAAACUCCAUGGUUGUGGAUUCGCUUAUUAAGGGACUACCACCCAAAGCUUUUUUCCUGAGCACACUGUUGAUAUGUGUGUAAUGUCAUUCAAGGAUAUUUGAUUUUAGUAGGAGUUUGUACUUUUAAACGUUUUUAUGUUAUAAAUACAUUUUCAAUUAUUUUAGUUUACAAAUAUUAAGUUUUUUUUUUUUGUAGAAAGAAAGUUUAUUUGGUAAAGUUUGAUCUCACUAAGAUUAAUGUGGACCGGUUAGAAUAUGCAUGUUUGAAUCAUAUUACAUGUAAUUUUCAUGUUACACAUCCAUACUUAAUCUAUGUCAUUUGGUUGUGCUAAUAUAUGUGAUUAAGGCUGGAUUUAGUUAUGAUAUAUGUAACAAAGUUGCAUUCUUUCUAUGUUAACAUAAUUAAUGGACAGAUUGUUCGAAAUACCUUUUAGAUACGAUAGUAAAAUUUUGAGCUCAUAAGGUUAUAUAAUGACAUGUAAUUAUAAGGUAAUCGGUAUAUAUAUAUAUGUCAUCCAAGUGGUAUAUAUGGACAUCACAUAUAUAAUAAGCAUGUUACAUGUUAUUAUUUACUAUCAUAAAAGAUUAACUCAAAUUAAAAGUGACCUAAUUUGGUUAAGAUUUAUUGGAUUUUAGUUAUUAAAUAAAAUAUAGGUCAAUAAUAUGUGUAGAUACUCUAGUAACUAAUUUCUAAUUUAUGAUGGGCGGAUUAGAAAUUAGGUUAAUGUGAAAAUGUUAUAUAUUAGGAUUUUGGUCUCCAAGUUACGCAUAUGUAACUUUUCUAAUAUCCCAUCUUGAGAAAAGAGAGAGUCACCUUCUUUAGAUUACUUGUGAGCUAAUUUGGAAGAUCAAAACCUUAAAAUUCGUAGAUUUCAAGAAAUCGGUAAAUUCAAAUACGCUUCUGCAUUUAGUUUUGUUCUUAAUUAUUUGACAUGAUAGAUUCUGAUUUAUUAAGUUUUGUAAAAGAGUUUUACGGUUUUAAUAGGAUAAUUACGAAUCCCAAAUAUAAACUGUAAAACGGACAUGAAGAAUAUAAAAGAAAUAUUACAAGAAUUUUGAAAGAGAAAAUUAAAUUGAAAAUUUUAAUGUUAUUUUUAUCUUUCAUAAUUAUUUUUAUUUAUAUUUUAUUUACAAGAACAUUUUAUUAAGAGUUUAUUAGGAUUAAGUUUAUUUUUACUUUUAUUAAAUAAAUGUUAGACUAAAAAUAAACUUUUUUUCCACUGUUGGUAUAAUGGAUAGUAGGCUAGGUUGUCCUUUUUUUAUUUGUUUAGGCACUCGUGUAUGAGAAUAAUUUAUAUUAGAAUAGUCCUAAAAGUUAAAGAUUUUAAUAUUAAUAAAUUUUUGUCACAUCAUCAAAUUUUAAAAAUAUAAAAUUAUUAUUAUACACUCGUUCAUAUUAAAUUUACUUUUUAACUUUCGUUCUUCUUAAACAUAAAUAAUUAAAAUAAAAAAUAGAAAAAUAAAAUAUUUAAAAUUUAUACAAUCCUUAAAGAUUUAAUCCAAUAUUUUUUUUUUGUUUUAAAAAAUGUAUAAUAUGAAAUAGAAAAAAAAUUAAAAUGGAAAAACUCCAUUGCCUAUAAACUAAUUUUUUUUAAAAAAAUUGGUUACAAAAAUUAAAAAUAUUAACUUCUGAAAAAAAACUAAAAAUAUUAACAUUUAUAAAAGAAGAAAAGAUGUUUAUUUAUNNNNNNNNNNNNNNNNNNNNNNNNNNNNNNNNNNNNNNNNNNNNNNNNNNNNNNNNNNNNNNNNNNNNNNNNNNNNNNNNNNNNNNNNNNNNNNNNNNNNNNNNNNNNNNNNNNNNNNNNNNNNNNNNNNNNNNNNNNNNNNNNNNNNNNNNNNNNNNNNNNNNNNNNNNNNNNNNNNNNNNNNNNNNNNNNNNNNNNNNNNNNNNNNNNNNNNNNNNNNNNNNNNNNNNNNNNNNNNNNNNNNNNNNNNNNNNNNNNNNNNNNNNNNNNNNNNNNAAAGGGAAAUUUGAAACACUUACCACCAUUCCCCUAUCAGAAAGUCUUUCCCACAUUCAACUAGAAAUCAGAGCUCACCAAAAUGUUUAUUCUUUUCAAUCUGAACCGACUCUACAAUCACUUAUUGCUCAUGGUCUUCAGCCUAUAAACCCAGAAGCAUUAUUAACUUCUAAAUCCAAAACACUAAUAUCAGCAUCCAACCCUAUAAUGAUAGUCUUAUUGACUCAUUUAAACAAGUUUCCUUUGUCAGUCUAUCAUAUUCCGUAUUUGGUAAUCGCCAAUAUGAAUUCAGACUUUAGGAUAGCUAGAAUAAGAAUAACAGCAAAGAUGCAAAGGGAAACGACUUGUAGGAGGAGGAAGAAACUUCUUUUGGGUACAAACCUGUAUAGCAUAUAAUAGGAUGUCCUGUAUAAUGUCACGAGAGCUAGAACCGUUGCAAAGCAGUAAUUAGUAAUGCUGAGUUUAGAAUAGAAAACGGAUCCAGGAGGCGAAAGAUAGAGAGGAUACUGAAGUUCGAGUGUCCGUAUGGAAACAGCAACUAAAAGCAUGUAACAGGUCCCAAACAAGGAAAGUGUUAUGAGAAUAAACAAGGACAUUGAACGGCUGGGUAGGAGAUAGGCUGUUAAAACAGUUGUUGCCCAAAAGGUUAAAGUGUUGUAUAACCAAAACAUUGUGGACACGUCUAGUAUAUUUUCUAUUUUUUUUUCUUCAGCGGGUGAAGGACUUGGUACGGGUCCAGUGCUGGUUGAACCUAAAGAUGCGUCAUACGUGAGAUGGAAAUCCUGGGAAUUUGAAAUGGUAUCAGGCUGCUUUGGAGGGUUCAAAGUGGCAGUGUAUGUGGCUGUUAUAAUUAGCACUGUGACUACUAAAAAUGUGUUACGCGUCUCAUGUGGGAUUCCCUUCUUUCCACGACUUGCUACUGUUGCAAAUUUUUUAAGAACUGACACCUUUCCUUUUAAAGAUUCGAUGGGGAUUGAAGAGAUGGAGGCUUUGGGAAGCGAGGAAGAGGAACCACGCAAACCUCCUGCUUUGCUUAUCAUAUCUUUAAUGGACUCCUUAUAGUCCACUCUCCCUUCAUCCAAUGUGUAUUGUGAUGGGAUAUCAAGUGCAGUCAAUCCCUCCGCAUUUUUGGCAUUGAUAUGGUCUCCACACAAGCGUUUCAGCAGUACUUUUACCACCUGUUAAUUAGAAUAUUCAUACAAGUAACCUUUGAGUAUAUAUAUACAUAAAUAAUUUUACUAGCAAAAUUAUCAUACCUGAGGUCUGUUUCUGAUAGCAGCAACAUGUAAAACAGUGUUGCCAUCAAUGUCUGCCCAACUCAGUAGUUCUUUCUCCCAACGGUUGGCAGCUUUAUGGCGGCUCCUUAUAAGCCACCCCACCAAGACUUGGAAAGCUUCAAACCUGU